GCCAUAAUUACCCAAUAAAAAAUAGUGUAUAUGCAUUAAGUACACUUAAUAAUUUCUCCUCAAUUACGCUCCAAGCUACAAUUUUCAACAUAUAUAUUACAAGAACUACGCAAAGUACUCAAUAGAGUUCGCUGAAUAAUAGUUUUGCCAUUCUUUUGGGCGAUGCAAUUGAAAAGGGUUAUAACAUCACAAUCAACGAGGAGAUACAUUUGAAAGAGUUACCUGAUUAACCGAACAAAUUUUGGGACUUGAAGAUGAAGCUGAUCUUGCAACAAAUUGCCCGAUAGAAAAUGCUGGUUGCCUGGGUUGAGGGAGUGUUAUGGUAUCACUUCCCAACAUAACAACAACAGACGACACAGUAGGUCUCUCUGCUGGGUCGUCUUGCACACACAACAGUCCAAUGUGGAUGCACUUUAGCACCUCAGCAGCCACACUUGAAUUCACAAGUGACGGGUCCAUCAAUUCCAAUCCUUCACCUUUAGACCACAAUUUCCAUGCCUGAAAUGAUAUUGGAGUCCAAAUGUUCAAUUAUAUAUGAUAAUGUUACUAUUCUUUCAUUCGAGGGAAAGACAAGGAUAGGAAUGUACAUAAGUGACGAGGCUUUCACCCUCUUCUGAAAUAUAAAACCGACUGCUCCUUUUCCCACUAAUCAUCUCUAAUAAGAGAACUCCAAAACUGAAAAUAUCUGAUUUUACUGAAAAAAGUCCUUCCAUAGCAUACUCUGGAGACAUAUAUCCACUGUUUGAAUUCAUGAAAAACUAGAUAAAAUUAGUAAGGAAUUAAAUUUAUAAAAGUUUUCUUCAUCAUUAAUUAGAAUAUAUCUGAAGAAGGAAGGAUUGCAUAAGGAAAAUUUUGUUCAUGCUUACUAUGUUCCAACAAUUCUAUUGGUACUGUUGUUGUCAUUUCCUUGGAAAAUCCUUGCCAUUCCAAAGUCUGAUAUUUUGGGGUUCAUCUCAUAAUCAAGCAAAAUAUUACUAGCUUUUAAAUCCCGGUGAAUAAUUCUAAGUCGAGAAUCUUCAUGCAGAUACAAGAGACCCUUGGCAACCCCAUUGAUGAUGCCAAGGCGUCUUUGCCAAUCAAGAUGUAAACCCAUGUUUGAAUCUGAGAAGCAUGAAUGCAAAUAGAAUUCAAAUCAGCAAGCACCUUUUCUACCCUUCAUUAAUUUCCAGUAUAUUAUAGCAGGUAAUAUAGAGUAUAAGAAUCAAACCAAAAAUAAAGAAAUCGAGGCUUUUGUUGGGCAUGUACUCAUAGAUGAGCAACUUUUCAUUUUUUUCUAGGCAACAUCCUAACAGCCUGACAAGAUUUCUGUGCUGUAAUCUGGCAAUUAAAGUGACUUCAUUCAUGAAUUCUUGUAGUCCUUGACCAGAAGUUGCUGAGAGCCUCUUAACUGCAACUUCUUUGCCAUCUUCUAAUGUGCCCUGAAAGCAUCUUUCAAUUAAUAUUGCAAAGUAAAAAGGAAGAUGUAUAUCUGUGGAAAUUCUCAUCCUUCUCUGUGGAAGAAUUGGAGAUAGUGGCCUUAUAAACUCUGGACAUUAGCUGUGUGAUUAUCGGCUAGAUGCAUUAAUAGUCGAUUUAAUAACCAUGCUUACCUUGUAAACAGGGCCAAACCCGCCUUCUCCAAGUUUGGCUUCAUCAGAAAAAUGUUUCGUUGCCUCAUAUAUGAUAUUGAACGGUAUCAUAGGAAAAUCCUGAGCGUUCAUUGCCAUCUCUUCUUCUCGAGUAAUUUUACUUAAAGGGUCAGAUCCAAUUCUUCCCAUUCCCAAGUCAAGUAAUUGAACCUCUUGGCUAAUUUCUUUGUCCUCAUUUUGAAGAAUCUUCCUUCUCCAUAUGGUAUAAAUGCUGGAACUGAACAGCAUUAACACUACAAUCGCUGCAGAAGUACUUGCAAUGAUUUUAAUCUGAGUUUUUUUGCCUCCCUUCCCUUCUUCAGGUCUUGUUAUUGAACCUGGAACUGGAGGAGGAGGAGGAGGGAAGACAAGUCCUCCCGGGACAACAGUUGAAUUAUAAUUAGGAUAAAUCUCACGCGAAAAUCCGGUUUCGUUAUAAAAUGGAUAUAGUUCAUACUGAAUAUUACAGCUCGGAGACAUGAUUCUUGCUCCUUGCUUUCCACUACAACAACUUGGAAUAUUUGAGAUAGCACUCUGAAGACAUUCAUAACAGUUUGCGGCAGAUAGGUCCGGUGUGCACUGGGAGAGGGUGUACAGUUUGUGAAACCCAAAAUUCGUUUCUUUAACUGCAAAUUUUUUAGCACCCGAUGGAGCAUUUGCAGCCUCAUUUGCUAUUUCACCCAUGGUUUUCGCCAGUAGCUCGUUAAAACGCUCCAUGUCUGUGACAUUCUGUGUAUUCCACAUAAAGAAAGCAGGUUUUAGUGCCAAGAUGGACACGAUACGUUGACUUGAAUAACGCAGGAAGCAGUUGUCAUAGCAUAACAUGGCCUCUUUUCCAAUCGGACAUUGUCCAACGAUGUCCUUUGUCGCAUUGGUGACACAAUUUUGGCAGAUGUCGGUGCUAAUAUCGCCGAAGCAUAAAUAGAGGCCAUAGACAACAUCUGAUUCACUCCCAGAAGAUGAGGCAUAGAACCCAUUGACACUUGAUGCUGACGACGACGAAAGUUGAGAGAGGAGAGUAUUAAGAUUGGUCUGGUAGGUGCUCUUUCUGGUGAAAGUGGCUGCGUCUGAGCGAAUAAUAGGGAAAGAACUGGGCUGUGCUUCCGAGGUAAUGGUAACGCCAACCAAGAUUAAGGGAAGGAUUAAGGAAAAUUUGACAGGCAUCAUUUGGUGGAUCAAAUGAGGGAGGCUUGGUGCAGGGGAGAUUUCUCAAAGCAAGUCAACAAACUAAUGCCAGUGAAGUGGGAGAGAAUAGAAACGUCAGAGCGUAAUAUAAGGAUGAUCCCAGUGGAAAAUUUAGAAAUAUAAAUCCUAGAAGGUAGACGAGAAAGACGAC
rnacentral:misc_RNA from 1 species